rnacentral:rRNA from 1 species
AUGCUACCAUGUUCUGUUCUACCUUCAAAGUCAACUAGGCACAAGAAAUCUUUGGUGCUCAAACUAGUUAUCCCAAUAGCCAGUAUGGUGUCACUUGCUAUGCUGAUAUUUGGCAUACUGCUUUUGAGAGGAAAACACAAGACACAAUCUGUAUUGGUGCCAUCAUUUGCUACAAAAUUUCCAAAAGUAUCUUUCAAUGAUGUAGCGACAGCAACACAGGGAUUCUCAACAUCCAACUUAAUUGGCAGAGGGAAAUACAGUUCUGUAUAUCAAGGAAAACUAGGAGAGGAAGAAAAUGAGGUUGCCAUAAAAGUCUUCAACCUAGAGACAAGAGGAGCACACAAGAGCUUCAUUGCAGAAUGUAAAGCGCUGAGAAAUGUUCGGCAUCGCAAUCUGGUGACUAUCCUAACCGCAUGCUCGAGCAUUGAUUCUAAGGGCAAUGAUUUCAAGGCCCUGGUCUAUGAGCUCAUGCCACAAGGAGACUUGCAUAAACUGCUAUACUCGACUCGAGAUUAUGAAGGCUCUUCAGAUUUGAACCACAUUACAAUGGCCCAAAGGAUGAGCAUUGCGGUGGAUGUAGCGGAUGCAUUGGAGUACCUACAUCACAACAACCAGGAAACAAUGGUUCAUUGUGAUUUGAAACCCAGUAACAUUCUUCUACAUGACAAUAUGACAGCUCAUGUUGGAGACUUUGGCCUGGCAAGAUUCAAGGUUGCUUCCACAGCAUCAUCUCUUGGAAACAAUAACUCUUCUUCACUUGCAGUAGUGGGAACGAUUGGAUAUGCUGCUCCAGAAUAUGCAUGGGGUGGUCAAGUUUCAACCGUCGCAGAUGUUUACAGCUUUGGUGUCGUUCUCCUCGAGAUAUUCAUUCGAAGAAGGCCAACUGAUGACAUGUUUACUGAUGGACUAAGCAUUGUGAAGUUUACAGAGGCCAGCUUCCCUGAUAGGGUGUUGGAGAUUGUUGACCCCCAGCUACUAAAAGAGUUGGAUGAAACUCCAAUAGCCUUCAAGGAAAAACAUGUACAUUGUCUGCUAUCUGUGCUAAAUGUUGGCCUUUGCUGCACUAAGACAUCCCCGGGCGAACGCAUCAACAUGCAAGAGGUAGCUGCCAAGCUACAUGGAAUCAAGGAUGCAUAUCUCAGAAGCAGUGCCGUUGCUUCAGUAGCAGUACCUGAAUAA